rnacentral:rRNA from 1 species
GGAGGAAAGCAGGGGAUCGUAAGACCUCGCGUGAUACGAGCGGCCGAUGUCGGAUUAGCUAGUUGGGGAGGUAAAGGCUCACCAAGGCGACGAUCCGUAGCUGGUCUGAGAGGACGACCAGCCACACUGGGACUGAGACACGGCCCAGACUCCUACGGGAGGCAGCAGUGGGGAAUUUUGGACAAUGGGGGAAACCCUGAUCCAGCCAUGCCGCGUGAGUGAAGAAGGCCUUCGGGUUGUAAAGCUCUUUCGCAAGGAAAGAAAACCUAUCCGCUAAUACCGGGUGGGGAUGACGGUACCUUGAUAAGAAGCACCGGCUAACUACGUGCCAGCAGCCGCGGUAAUACGUAGGGUGCGAGCGUUAAUCGGAAUUACUGGGCGUAAAGCGUGCGCAGGCGGUUUCGUAAGUCAGAUGUGAAAUCCCCGGGCUCAACCUGGGAACUGCGUUUGAAACUACAAGGCUAG